rnacentral:rRNA from 1 species
GAUGAACGCUGGCGGCGUGCCUAAUACAUGCAAGUCGAGCGAACAGACGAGGAGCUUGCUCCUCUGACGUUAGCGGCGGACGGGUGAGUAACACGUGGAUAACCUACCUAUAAGACUGGGAUAACUUCGGGAAACCGGAGCUAAUACCGGAUAAUAUAUUGAACCGCAUGGUUCAAUAGUGGAAGACGGUUUUGCUGUCACUUAUAGAUGGAUCCGCGCCGCAUUAGCUAGUUGGUAAGGUAACGGCUUACCAAGGCAACGAUGCGUAGCCGACCUGAGAGGGUGAUCGGCCACACUGGAACUGAGACACGGUCCAGACUCCUACGGGAGGCAGCAGUAGGGAAUCUUCCGCAAUGGGCGAAAGCCUGACGGAGCAACGCCGCGUGAGUGAUGAAGGUCUUCGGAUCGUAAAACUCUGUUAUUAGGGAAGAACAAACGUGUAAGUAACUAUGCACGUCUUGACGGUACCUAAUCAGAAAGCCACGGCUAACUACGUG